rnacentral:snoRNA from 1 species
GAGCAAUGAUGAACCUGACAUGUACUGACAGUUAAAUACAUGGAGGUUCUACACUUGAUCUGAGCUCA